CCCCCCCCCUCCUCUCUCUCCACCUUUUCUCUUCCUUUCUCUUUCACCUCUGUCUCCGUGUCUGGUCGGAAUUACAAAGCAUUCAACAACAAUAACAAUAAACUUUUAAGUAUCAGGCGUGACAUUAGAAGCCAACGCUUUGAUGCUCCACCUGAGAAUAAAUCUGUAAGGCUUGUCACCAGCAUUCAGACAUCAAUUCUGCUUGCUUCACAGCCAGACAGGACACGGUAAAAAAAAAAAGUAUCUUUUGGACAGGUAAGUUAUUUAUUGUUUUUCGGAUAAAUUUACUUAUAAUCUUUCUUUCACUGAAAGAAGUAAUAGAGCAAACAAGCUUUGUAUGCUUUGUGUCCUAUUGGCUAAUGUAGCAUUAGCUUGAAUGCUAAGUCAACAUGAAUCGAUGCUAGUCGAACUAGUUAUGCUAUAUUUGGAAGAAGUUUGAGUAACGAAAGGGGAUUUUAGUUUUUUUUAUAUGGGAGCUAAUGAUUAGUGUGGCGUUUAACUAUAGGCCAUAUCAGUGUAUUGUUUUAAGCUCUUGUUUAUAACUUCCCCGUUAGCGGGGUUCGGUUAGCAUCUUGAAUGCUGAAUUAGAUGUUUACACUUUCCUGAGCUGCGUGUUUGAUUAAAAUGAGUAAUCAGCAGCUCAUGUAGCACUUGUAGAAGUCUGAGGAGAUGAUUCAGCAGAUAGAAUUAGGUGUGAUUGAUGAGGAAUGUAUCCAAAACCUUACGUUUCCAUUAGCACCGAAAGACAUAUUGCACUAACCUGGGUGGGCCACGUGUACAGAUUAUUGUCUGAGUUUGUGGUCUUACCUAUGUGAAAACUCCAUAUUAAAAUAAAAGUAAUGAUAAUCAGCUCGUGCAAAAAUCUGUGAAGGCUGGGGAGAUAUGUUUAGCUUGUGAUCACUAAUUUUUGGGCUUUGUUUUUUACAGUCAUCAGUCCAAAUAUGAAGCAUCAACAUCUACACCAUUGAAACGCCAACUGUUUAUUUCUCCAACACCAGUGCCAGCUCUGUCUAGCAUUCAUGGAGAGUCAUCUGAAAGCUAUGAUAAUUUGGAGGAGGUGAUGGAACAAGGUGAAACUAAGAAACCAUGAUCGUCAACCAACGUUUGACAAGCAAGAAAGGUCUUCCUCGACGCUACAAGCUAAGGCCUGAGUAUCCAAGGCGUUACGGUUUGCUGUCCGGAGUCCCUGCACCAUCAACAGAGGAACUUCUACAACACCUACGGACUUGCGGUGAUGGUAAAACUUUGCCACAGACAUAGGUGUUGGGGGAGGCAAGAGAAAACCCAAAACCUUAUUUAUUUUUGUUUCCUGUGUUUUAUUUAUUUAUUUAUUUUAAAUAAAGAUAUAUUUUGGGGAAAUAAGGACUAAUAAUUUAAAAAUGUAUGCAAAAUGCUGGAGGUAGACAUAAGUUUUUGUUGUUGUGCAGGAGUUUUAAAAUUUAUGGUAUUUUUACAAAUGCAACAGAGAGUUAUGCUUUAGAACACUUUAUUAGAGCAUCAAACAAAAAAAUAUAUAUAAAAAAAACUUAUGUAAAAUAUCAAAUAUAUACAUUUAUUUACAAUCGUCUUGGAAUAAAACCAGUGUAGUUUCCAUUGGGGUCAGGGAAUUUUUCCCUUAUCCUCCAGACAACACAGCUUGGGAUUACUACUCUGCGUCCUCCACCAGGUUUUCCAUGCUGCCAUGCUACAAAUUGUCUGUAAGCUGCAUGGCGGAACUGUCUGUUGUCCUCACCAGGGUCCGGGUCAUCAUAAACUGCUCGAAACUCAUUCCACAAUGUUCUGGCCAGGCGAAGAACACCAUUUUGCAAAAUAGACUCCUCCAUGUGUGGUACAGUUGAAAUACAUGUCUGGGGAGGCUUUUGGCAGCAUUUCUUUUCCAAAUCAGUUGGCAUAUCUCUGCAGUGGGAGCAUACACACCAUGAAGGUUGAUUGGAGGUGUUGUGGCAUUUGGACCAGAGAGGGCAAGUACAUCAAAGAGAACAACAGGGUCUCUGUCCAGCACCAUGGUAAGGAUGUCAAUAGCCUGCUGAGGGUUCAGGUUCUGUAUGUGUUGCUACAAAAGUGGAAAGAGAUGCUACAGCAACAGUUUUUAGGAUAAUUUAGUGUAAUUUUGUUAUGCUUACACGUUCAAAGUCUAUUCGCUCGGAACGAAGAUUCCGAACUCGAGAGAGAUCUUCAUCUCCAAGGUCCACAGCUGAGUGUCUCGCACUUCUUCGGCCUCUGGAUGCACCGCGGCCUUUAGAUGCACCACGGCUUUGAGAUGAUG